UACAGAGGUCUCAAGCGUUGUUCGGAUUCAUUGGGCGUAAAAGGUGCGUAGGUGGCAUGGUAAGUCGGAUGUGAAAUCCCGGGGCUCAACCCCGGAACUGCAUUCGAUACUGCUGCGCUAGAGUACUGGAGAGGAGAUUGGAAUUUACGGUGUAGCAGUGAAAUGCGUAGAUAUCGUAAGGAAGACCAGUGGCGAAGGCGGAUCUCUGGACAGUUACUGACACUGAGGCACGAAGGCCAGGGGAGCAAACGGG
rnacentral:rRNA from 1 species